rnacentral:rRNA from 1 species
AUUGAACGCUGGCGGCAGGCCUAACACAUGCAAGUCGAACGAGUGGCGGACGGGUGAGUAAUGUCUGGGAAACUGCCUGAUGGAGGGGGAUAAAUACUGGACCAUGUAGCUAAUACCGCAUACCAUCGGAUGUUCGCAGAUGGUAUUAGCUAGUAUGUGGGGUAAAGGCUCACCUAGGCGACGAUCCCUAGCUGGUCUUAGAGGAUGACCAGCAACACUGGAACGGAGACACGGUCCAGACCCCUACGGGAGGCAGCAGUGGGGAAUAUUGCACAAUGGGCGCAAGCCUGAUGCAGCCAUGCCGCGUGUAUGAAGAAGGCCUUCGGGUUGUAAAGUACUUUCAGCUGGGAGGCGUUACCCGCAGAAGAAGCACCGGCUAACUCCGUGCCAGCAGCCGCGGUAAUAC